rnacentral:rRNA from 1 species
GGAAAGUUGCAAAGUACUUUGAAGAGAGAGUUAAAAAGGACGUGAAACCGGUAGGAUGGAAGCAGACAAAGUUAACGAACGAGUGUUGUAUUCAAAAUCGUAUCUUGUGUACGGUUUGUUCUUACAGCCGAUGUGGGCUGGCGGCUUUGGUCAAUACAAUGUGUUUGGCGUCGAUGGUGACCCUGCGGAGGGAAAUUCGGUCGGCGUGCAAUGCUUGAUAUGACUAAGGUUUCGCCGGUCUUGAAGUUAUUGCUUUUUCUGACCCGUCUUGAAACACGGACCAAGGAGUGUAGCGUUUAUGCGAGUCUUAGAGUGUGUCAAAACUUUGAGGCGUAACGAAAGUGAAUGUGGUUUAAUCUACUGAAUUGGGAUACGUUGUCUCUUGUGGACGACGUCGGACCAUGGUUUUAUCGUGAUCGCUUGCGAUGCGGUGAAAAUAGAGCGUAAACGGUGCGACCCGAAA